rnacentral:rRNA from 1 species
UACGUAGGGGGCAAGCGUUGUCCGGAAUCAUUGGGCGUAAAGAGCGUGUAGGCGGCCCGAUAAGUCCGCUGUGAAAGUCCAGGGCUCAACCCUGGGAUGCCGGUGGAUACUGUCGGGCUCGAGUCCGGAAGAGGAGUGUGGAAUUCCUGGUGAAGCGGUGAAAUGCGCAGAUAUCAGGAGGAACACCAAUGGCGAAGGCAGCACUCUGGGACGUGACUGACGCUGAGACGCGAAAGCGUGGGGAGCAAACAGG